UACAGAGGUCUCAAGCGUUGUUCGGAAUCACUGGGCGUAAAGGGUGCGUAGGCCGCACGGUAAGUCAGAUGUGAAAUCUCAGGGCUCAACUCUGAAAUUGCAUCCGAUACUGCCGUGCUUGAGGACUGGAGAGGAGUCUGGAAUUCAUGGUGGAGCAGUGAAAUGCGUAGAUAUCAUGAGGAACGCUAGUGGCGUAGGCGAGACUCUGGACAGUUCCUGACGCUGAGGCACGAAGGCCAGGGGAGCAAACGGG
rnacentral:rRNA from 1 species